rnacentral:lncRNA from 1 species
UGACUAAUGAUUAACAUUUGAAAAUGGAACAUGAUAGGAAAAUACCACCAAUCACGGCAAAACCGUCUGUCAAAAGAGCAGAGGGCAACAACAACAAAAACGCUAUUCAAAGAAUAUCCUCUUCCAAGAUGAGAAUGUGCCAUUCAGAAGACGUCUUCAGAUUCCAUUUACCCAGCUGGAGUGGCAACACCCCUCUAGGUCAGGCACUGUGGGCCUUCUGCCUGUGAUUCCAUCCUCCCCGCACCUCCAGCUCACCAGGUAGGUGUCUAUCCAUGCAGAAAUGAUGGCUGAAUUAAAUUGAAUAAAUGUUAGAACUCCAAAAUAAAACAACAUAUUAUCUAAAUGGGCACAAGCUAUCUAAUCUGUGUUUCACUUCUCCUGCCAGAAAUGGAAAGCUAUCACUCCAAAGGCAUGUUAAGCAAAACAAAAUAAUACUUCCAAAGAAGGUCUAGCUUCUGUUCUGUGACAAUUUGGUGAUCAUUCAUCAGAUGGACAAAAAAGCCAAAAGUGUCAAACCAACCAGAACUUAAAACGAUGGUCAGGAACUUCUGACCUAUCCUUUGUGGCAGUUUCAAGGAGCCCAGUAGAAGAUUUGGCCCCAGCUAGUCACUAUGAUCUCUCUACCUGCACCCACGGGCUAGGACUAGAGACCCAUCUCAUCCCAGGGGUGUCAAUCAUAGGCCUAUACACACUCUGCACAGUUCUAGGGAAAUUUAGGUGAAAGGAGUGGGGAAAGAAUCAACCUAGAUGUUCCUGGGGCCCAUCCUGACCAAGGCCCUUGGUAUGGCUUCAAACCCCCAAAAUGACAAAGAGGACCUCAUGUUUGCUGCCCCAACGAACCUGAUGUAAUUUCACAAUAGAUCCAGUUCCAUUAACAGAGGCCUCUGGCUCAGUUUUAGCCCUUAGAAAAAACUGCAAGUGAAGUCAGUUACCCUAAUAUUAUUAUCAUCCCUGUCAAAUGCUCCUCGGUUAAGGAAAUUGUAAACAACUGUAUCCUUUAUAUCUUGGAAUAAGAUUCCAUUUACCCAGCUGGAGUGGCAACACCCCUCUAGGUCAGGCACUGUGGGCCUUCUGCCUGUGAUUCCAUCCUCCCCGCACCUCCAGCUCACCAGGUAGGUGUCUAUCCAUGCAGAAAUGGUGGCUGAAUUAAAUUGAAUAAAUGUUAGAACUCCAAAACAAAACAAAAACCAAAUAGUCAUUUUCAUCCACAUUCACACGUCAAGUCUUUUUCUUUAAAGGCUGAAGGGGAUAGCAGGUGAAAGUAGAAAGAGCAGAUGGUAUGAGAAAACACCCCUCACCCAACCAACUUGGUCAUUGAUUUUUUUAAAAAAGGAGUCUUUAUCUUUACACAGAAGGUAGAAGUUAUAAUUUAACUCUCAAGUUAACUAUAAGUCCCCUUGCCUUUCAAGUCAUAUGAACACAAAAGGCUUUAAUGAUUUUUUAACUAAAGAAGGAAAAAACAUACCAUAUGAAAAUCACUUCUCCCCCUAACACGAAUACACUGGCCACUCAAAGAUAGGUCUGUGAGAUCCUUAUCCACAGGAUCUAUUAAUAAGAGCAGCACAGGAAACUCGGCACAAUCACAAUCCAAAGUUUAGUUUGACAAACACGGGAAGGCCACUGGCUUAAGAGUCUCUGCAUAUGCAGUUAAAACCUCAUUUGAACACCUGCAUAAUCAUUUCCCUCCUAAAAAAAAAAAGGAGAGUGGAUUUUUACUUGUAAGUUCUCAGUUUCAAGUAGACCAAAUCUAAUGAACAUCUUUUUCCACCACAGUGAAGAAAAGAAAAAGGAAAUUCCAUGGACUCCAGUAACAAUCAAGUUUGCAGAAACACAAAAUCAUUUUUACAAGACACUUAUCUCUCAAGACUAUUCACAUACACAAGAGGGGAAUUUUUACAGGCUAACGUGACAUAAAAUUUGUAUAUAAAAUCAUCCCUUAAUGCCCCAGAGGACUUACUCCUUUACAAAAUCCUUUAAAAAAAGAAGACAAUGAUCAUCACUGGGUUAUGAGAUUAUGAGUACUUUUUAUUGUUCUUUUUCACUUAUUUUCAAGCUUUUAUACAAAGUUCAAUUUUUGCCUUUAAAAUCAGAAAAAAAAAAAUAAUUAAAUCCUAUGGUAGAAUUCGAGAUGAAGAAUCUCUCUGAGGGCUGUCAGCCUUUGUGUUAAUUUUUUUUUUUUUUUUAAACAGGGUCUCACUCUGCCACCCAGGCUGGAGUGCAGCGGUGCCAUCUCAAUGUAACUUCCAUCCCCUAGGGUUCAAGCAAAUCUCCCGCCUCAGCCUCGUGAGUAGCUGGGAUUACAAGUGCACACCAUCACGCCUGGCUAAUUUUUAUUUAUUUUUAUUUUACUUUAUUUUAUUUUACUGAGACGGAGUCUUGCUCUGCCGCCCAGGCUGGAGUGCAGUGGCGCGAUCUC